CCCUCAACAUAGAGAGAGUUGGACAAUGAUCAGCCAUGAUUUUGGAGAACUAUGACUGAGAAUGCUACCCAUCUUCUGACAGAGAAGUGAUGGACUCAGUGUGCAGAAUGAGCCACAUUUGGGGAUCUGGCCAACUUGAACAUUUAUUUUGUUCGAAUAUGCAUAUUUUGUUACAAAGAUUUUAUUUUUACUUUAUUUUCCAAUGGGGUGGGUAGAGAAGUAGGAGGGAAAAUAAAAAUAUCUGAUCAUAUUUUAAAGUAGAAAAGUUAAUUUCACAAACAAAUAAAAUUAGAGAGUUGGAUUCAAUUAUCUCUGAGCAUCCAUCCAACUCCUUCAAUCUAUGUUCCAAGAUUCUUUCCAAUUCAGACAAGUGGUGGUGUGUGGUCUAACUUUAUCUUCACGGCAACCCUGGAAUUUUAGUGCUAGUAGCAAACAAGGAACAUAGAACACUAGAGCUACGGAUGAGGCUUGGGCUAUGGGAUUUAAAACCUAGAUUAAUAAUAGCUACUUUUAUGUGGAGAAUUAACAUAUAUAUUAAAAAGUGCUUUGAAUAUUAUAUGUAUAAUUUCAUCUUAUCCAUAAAACCAAACCUAGAAUUAGUGCUAGAAAGAAUCAUAGAACAUAGAACGUUAGACUUUAAAGAAACCUGAGAAUAUAUAAUGCUAGACUAUGGAGAGUUAAAGGAAUUUUUGUAUUAUGAAGCAUUUUAAUUAGAAAUAGCCUUAGAUUAUGAUAAAUUAGACCAUGUAAAAGGAUCACAGAACAUAGCACGGUAGACUUUGGAGAAACCUUAGACUAUAUAAUGCUAGAUUAUGGAGAGUUGAAGGAACUUUUCCAUUGUGAAGCAUCAUAAUUAGAAAUGGCCUUAGACUAUGAUAAAUUAGACCGUGUAACCCACAAUGUCAGAAUUGGAGGCAAUCCAGAACAGACUAGAAAAGCCAAGAGAAAACUGGAAAGAGUUGAGAUGGCCCCGUUAUUGUUGUCCAUUGUAUGGAUAAGGAAGAGUGACUCAAUGCCCUCCAAAAUCUUCAGGCAAACACCGGAGGAUUAUUUGUUAGCUGCAUUAUGGAGAGAAUGCUCAUUAAGCUACAAAUUUCACUGGAUGGCCACUGAAGAUCCUUCAGACAAAUUCAAAAGGUUUCAAGAAAAUUUGGAUCACAGAAUUUAGAGUGGAAGAAAUCGAAGAUCAGAUAUAAAAAUAUCAAUAGAUAAUAUAAGGAAACUACACCAGGACUUAGUUGGGAUCCCACAGUAAACAGAAAAGACAUCAUUUGGACUCAGUUCCUGCCUGACUCGAUCCACUGAGCCUGCCUCGAAGAGAGAGAGGAAGGCAGCUUCUCAUGCUCCACCACCCAACCUUUCCUGGAUCUCUUUCAAGGGGAUUCCUGGUCUUACCCUGCCAUAUCAACCCAUCAACUGAACACAUCCAUUGUGUGUGAGGAAUGCUGAUGAGCAGUGCAAAGAAAAAGCAAAUCCAGGGGGACCAGAAUCAAACCCGCUGUCCCUGCACUCAAGGCAUUUAUGAUCUAACGAGGAGACAACUGUAAGGAUGCAGACUCUGUUGUGCCAGUUGUCGAAUGACAGACCUUCCAAGAGAAGACCGAGAUACCAGAGACAGAAAGAUCCACAUCAGGUUAGUUAUUAAUAGGUUUUAUUAGGGUUACUGAGGGAGCUCAUUCCCAAGAGGCCAGCACAAAAUGGCAGUAAGACAAAGUCCAGUGGAUCCUCACACUAACCCGGGCCGGGCGAGGUAUUAUAUACUAAGGGAACAAAGAAGGCAGAGAGCCCAAGAUGGCCCAAGGCCAUGUGCCAGUUCUCCCAUGGGAGAACUGGAGCUUCUUUUGCUCCUUUAUAUUGAAGGCAGUCGUGGGUCAGAUUCCCAGGCUCUGGCUCCCACCCUACAACAACAUAUACACAAGAUAUAAAUGGAAAGUCACCUGAAAGAAGGCAUUCUGAGGUAGGAAGACUGGGAAAGACUGGGAAGAUCUCCUGAAGAAAAAGGUGUUUGAGCUGAAUCUUGAAGGAAGCUUUCAGGGAGUCUAAGAAGAGGAGGGAAGAAGGCAGAGCAUUUCCAGCAUGGGGACUCAGUCAGUAGAAAGGGAUGGAGACCCUCUCUUAAAACCCCUGGUCAUGUCACUCCUUCUCGCUCUCUCUAGUUGGACAGACUUGACCUCAUCCUGGGUCAAAGGUGAGAUUUCAUGGUGCCAGGAGUCUCGGAGAACACGAGACAAGCAUCUUCUGGGUCCCCUGGGAGCCACGGGAAUCCUCCCAUAGUGCAUAUGUGCCCACUCAAAGGGUGGGGCUCUUUAAAAACAUUUCUUUCCCAAAGGAAAAAGAGGUACAAUUUAUGGUAAUUCCACAUAAUUCCAACCUCCAUAUAAUUUGAGAAUUUGAUCAAUAGCAUCCUAUGUUUAAAGACUCCUAGUGACAGGAAGGUCUACACCCCCUUUUGAGUCACAUUAGGAUGAGAUAUUUUAUCAAUUUUUUUUAAAUGGGUAUCCUAUUUGUAGGUAUUCCUUGAUCCAUUAGAUAAAUGCCCUAUCAAGCAAUGGGAAAAAAUAAUCUGGUAAAACCCACCAUUAUUGAAAAUAUAUGGGCUCUUUGCAAUUGUUAUAUCCUUUUCUGAAGGUUGAUCCUCUCAUUAAUGAUGUGUUCUAGAAUGUUCCCUGUACUCAAGAUCAAACCCAUUGACCUAUAACUUGCAGAGAGACAGAGAGAGAAAAAGAGAAAGAUAGGAGAGAAAGACAAAGAAAAAGAGAAAGAGAGAAAAGAGAGAGAGAGACAGAGAUAGGGAGACACAGAGAGAAAGAGAGAGAGACAGAGACAGAGAUUUGUUCUGCUCCUUUUUUGUUCUGCUCUUUGGGAUAUUUCCUGUCUAGUUAGAAACCAUUUGGCUGUCUACAAGAGUUAAACAUCUCUGUCCCUCCCUGGACCCUUUAACUGUGCUCAUAGCUUCUCUAAGUUCAGCAUCAGCAGCAUCUUCUUUCAGUAGGAGUAGUAGGCUCCCCAGUCUCAGUCCUGGCCCAUAUCCCCACCCAGGCUACUUCUCUUUUUGGCCCCAAUCUAAGGGUUCUCCCCAUCAAGAAAUAAACAAACAAAUGAAUACAUGAAAAUACAUAAAUAUUUUAAUUAUUAGCUACAUAGAUAUUUUAAAUAAAUAAGUAAGACCCUGGACCAAAGGAAUUGAGACACAAAUGGAAGAGGCUCCAUCCCAGGCACAAGUUUGCCUGUGAGGCCACCAGCAAUUGGGGAGCUGCAUCCCUCCCCUGCCUUACCCUCUGAGCAUUUCAGACAGCUGUCCUUGAAUUUUGAAGUCAGCAAACAGAGUCUGGCUGAGGAACAGGCAUUGCCCCUUUAUUAUAUCCAAGAAGUUCUGGUUCAUCAGCCAAUUGAAUGACUUUUUAUUGCCACAUUGUGAGCCCCUGAGUCAUUAUGGCCACCUGUCAGGAUAUCUACACAUACUUUAAAAUUGGAAGUGGAGGAAGUCCCCUCCAUCAAGCCUACUUCUAAGGACCCUCCCUAAAAAAAGCUUCCAUGUUAGAGGUGGGCAUGGGUUCAAGUGUAAGAGGGUGUACUACACUUGUUUUUUGUUAUCUUUUGUCUAUGAAUGGUACUGUCUUGGUGAUAUAUCUAUCAGUUCUUCCAGGACCAGAAGACAUAGUGCGUCUGGGCCAAAUGCCUUAAAUUCAUUAGGGAAACAGCUAGCAAGUUAGCUGUUCUCUUACUAUCCCCUUACUCAUCUUGGAUGUCACGUCUCCAUUACUCAUUUUUAUUCUGACAUAUUUGAUUCAGGAAUCAUUCUACUUGAUAGAGAAAACAAAAGUAAAAUUAAAAUUAAGCACAUCUACCUGAUCUCUAUUGUCCACUAUCUCAUCAUUUAUUGGUCCAAUCUCUUCUUUGAUCAUACUUUUCUCUCCAUAUUGCUAAAACACAUUUUUUUGUCUCGGGUUGUCUUAAGCUUUCCCAUCACUAAUACUAUUCUUACAAGAUGGUGCCACACUCAUAUUCAAUCCAUUUUACCCAUUUCAUUUUUCUAUACAUACUUUUAAAAAUGUAAAUUGGUACAUUCUUUGUGCAUCCCUAAGCGUAUCUUCAGAAAACUCCCAUUGUUCUUUCUCAUUGGAAUUUCUUCCCGCUUGUUCUUCAGAAUUUCAUUCCCACAAAGGCCAUCCCAAAUUCAUGUAAUCUAAUAUCCAUUGGAUCCUCACUGUGAAAAGUAAACUUUUUAAAGCUUUUCUUUAGUUGAGCCUCUCUUUCAUGGUUCCUAACAGCUGUCCUAAAUUGUCUCAUCUCUUACCAUGUGUGCUCCAACAUCCCUCCUUUUCAACAGUGGACAUCUCUUUAGCAGGACCAUUAGAUCACAGACUUAGAACCACAGGGGGCCUUAAAGACCACUGAGUCCAGCCCUUUUAUUUUGAAGCUGAGAUUCAGAAAAGUUACUUCACUACUAGCAAAUAUCUGAUGUGAGAUAUGCACCUAGAUCUUCCUGUCUCCAAAUCCAGGGCCCUAUUCAUUACACCAUCUAAGUGGCACUGGGAAGAAGGUGGCACAAUAGAUAGAGCACCAAAUCUGAACACUCUGAACACAAAACAGGAACACUCAUCUUCCUGAGUUCAAAUCUAGCCUUAGACACUUAGUAGCUGUGUAAUCCUGGGCAAAUCACUUAACCCUAUUUGCUUCCAUUUUUUAAUUUAUAAAAUGAUCUGGAGAAGGAAAUGGAAAACCACUCUAGUAUUUUUUGCCAAGAAAACCCCAAAUGAAGACAUGACUGAAAAAUGACUAGAUAAGAAUAAAUCAUGUCAUAUAUUUUUAUAAAAGUAGAGACUACCUGGCAUUAGGUCUCUCUUCUCCCCCAUUUGACAUUUCAGAACAUCUUGACAUCACUUUUUCUCCUCUUUACAAUAGGCUCUAAUGAAGAUGUGACCCUGCUCCUUGCAAAGACCAAACCCUCUACUCAUAGCUUUGAUAUCAUCCACUCCUAUCUUUUCCAGCAGAUUACUCACACAUUCAUCAUUGCCUCCCCCUUUAAUCUUCAAUAUCUUCCUGUUUAUUGACUAUUUCUCUGCUGCCUACACAAAUGCCCACCAAAAGAAAGGAAAGGAAAGGAAAGGAUAGAAUUAAGGGAUGAUUCCUACUUAAUAAGUCUGAAGGACAUGGAAGAUGGGAGUAUGUUUGAUUGUAAUAGAGAAGUUAGGAAGAGAGGGUUCUUCCUAUUUGUGUGACCUUGGACAAGUCACUUAACCCCAGUUGCCUAGCCCUUAUUGUUCUUCUGCCUUAUAACCAAUACUAAGACAAAAGAUAAGGGUUUUACUUUUUUAAAAGAGGAAAGGGCUAUAGAGAGAGUCAGUUCUGGAUGUGCUGAUUUAAGUUUAAGAUGUCUUUAUGGGGAAGGAGCCAAGAUGGUGGAGAAGGUAUACAGAUCCACAUGCUCUCUACCAAAUUACCCUUUUUAAAAUAUCAAAACAACUAUUACAUAAUGCCUCAAAAUGAAUUCUGGAGUGGCAGAACCCACAAAAGGAGAGGGUGAAACAAUUUUCAGACCAACAUAACUUAUAAGAUCAACAGGAGUCUACAGCACCGGGAUAGAAGUAGAGUCCAGAACAUCAUGCUAAGGUAGGCUGCACACAUAGGCUAUGGGGGCAGUUGAAUCAGCAGCUACAGCUUCCAGAACUCUCAGCCACAGACAGUAAAGGACAAAGACAGAUAGUAGGAAAAUAUCAAGAAGAGGUUGCGCAUUGAGUUUACAAGGUCUAUGGGAUCUCCAGUUUAAGCACAGAUCAACAGUUCUGAAGACCGUAUAAAGAGGUAGAAGGAUGAGGACUGAGGAAAGGGCAUUCCAUUUGGCAAUUAAGAACUCUUAGUAACUUUGGAGAGAGCAGUUUGGGUUAAGGAUGACGUCAGAAGACAACUGCAAAGAGUUUAGAGAAGAGUGAGAAGAAAGGAAGUGUAGGCAUCUAUUAGAGAUGACCUUCUCUAGGAGUUUAACAACAAAAAGAGAGAGAUAGGAGAAAAAUAGCUGGCAUAGAAGGGUCAAGAAAAGAAGCUUUUUAUAGCAUGAAGGAGACAGGAAAAAAGGAAAGCAAAUAAGCAUUUAUAGAGUGCCUACUAAGUGUCACAUGUUGUGCUAAGCACUUUAUACAAAUUUCUCACUGGAUCCUCACAACGUCACUGGGAGGGAGAUGCUUUUAUUAACCCCAUUUUACAGUUAAGGAAACUGAGAUACAGAUUAAAUAACUUUCCCAGUGUUACACAGAUCAUUAAUCCCUAGAAAAAAGGUACUAGACAUCCAUUUUAAGAAGUCUUUGAAAAUUCACCAUUAUGUCUUAGAUACACAGCCUGGAAAGACAGCAGACCUCUCUCUGCUUGUUAGGAUGUUCAAAUCUAGCUGCCUCAGUAUCCUCAAAAAGAGAGAAACUUGCCACUCCUACUCUUUUCCUUUUCCUCUGAACUUGUCAGCUUCCAUAGCUCUCCUCUGUCAUUCUGUGUAGAGGACUCAUGCAGCUGCUUCCUCCUCUGAGUAUCUAGCCCCUUCCUCUUCAGGAAGAGCUGCAAAUCUGUUUUUUAGCUCCCAGUAUAUUAUUGUAAUUUUCUUUCCCUUCUCCCUCAGUGUGACAUUCUUCCUCCAGUUUCCUGACAAAAGGUCAAGUAAAUCCUCAGCCGCUUUGGAUCCUUUUAUUUAUUCUUGGAAGUUUGUUACCAAUUUGUCUUCUUUUGUUUCUAUUUUGUUGUUAUUGUUGGAAGUGGGGUGAUGGUUGGAAGCACAAUGCUUUUGAUAUUGUCCUUGUGGUUCGUCCUCCAUUUUCAAAGAGGACCAAUGGCAUCACAAGGUUGAUGUAUUGACUUGCUCAUGAAUUGGAUUUCAAUGAAGCAGAGAUAUACAAAGUCAUCAGGCUCACUGACCACCAGAAGAGUAAAGGGAUGUUCCUGGUGUCCCUUCCUUUCCCCUCUCCAAAUAAGGGAAAACAGCCUGCACUCAUUGCAGACCGUAUUCAUUUGAUUGUGGCAGACAUAAACAUCUUGCACUGGAAUAAUUUCAAACUUUGUCUGGCUACCAUUUUGCUUGAUGUUCCCAAUUUUAUGGGUUUUUUUUUAACUAUUUCAAUAAGACCUUUAAAAACUCUUAUCAGCUCAUCUUUAGAUCCUAGAUGUCAUCUAGUCCAAUCCCUUCAGUCUAAAGAUGAGAAAACGGAAGAUUAUAUAGUCAGGGAAAGUGAUUUACUAACUGGGAUUUAGUAAUGUAGAUGAGCUACUCAUUAGCAAGGACUUUUUCUCCUAUGCAAAGAUACCAAAACCAGAUUUCAUAAAAAGAUAUUUAACUGGAAAACCAAGAGAGAUUCUGGAAAACAAAAUGUGACAACACAUAAGACAUCAAAUGUUAGAAGCUAGAAGGAACCAGAAAGGACUUUAAAAAUAUUCAACAUAGAAGGUUCCAUCUUGGAAAAGGAGAAGGAAACAUAUUAAAUUAUAAAAGGUUAGAAGUGAAAUGAAAUUUCAAGAUUUUUCAAUCUAGCCUUAUUUUUCAGAGGAAGACAUUAAGGUUCAGAGAAAGAAAAUAUCUUCCUAAUUCAAUUUAAUAAAACUGAGGCUCAGGGAAGGUUUUUUUCCCCCUAUAGCCUACAAGGAAUGAGGAUCAGGCAGUCAGAAUCAUGAUCUUAUCCCAAUUUCCCAGACCAUUCCCCCAUCCCAGAUCGAAACUGCUCUCAUUUGUUUGAGAAAAAUAUGUUUUAAUUGCUUUACUGACCCCACUGAUUUAAGUUCAGAGGAUCAGAAGUUAAGUGUAUGUUUAGAUUGGCCUUGCCCAUCAAACUGGAAUUAUUUUUAUCUAAUAUAGAUUUUUAUAAAAACUGAGAAAACUUCUAUGAACUGAUGCAGAGUGAAAUGAGCAGAACCAGGAGAACAUUGUACACAGUAACUGAAACAUUGUGAGAUAAUCAAAUAUAAUCAACUUUGAUACUAAAAGCAAUGCAAUGAUCCAGGACAAUCCUGAGAGACUUAUGAGAAACAAUGUUAUCAACAUCUAGAGAAAGAACUGUGGGAUUAGAGCCACAGAAGAAAAACAUGAUUAAUUACUUGUUUAUAUGGGUAUAGAACUUGGGGUUGUUUUUUGUUUGUUUGUUUAAAAGAUUACUCUGUUACAAAAAUGAAUAAUAUGGAAAUAGGAUUUGAGUGAUAAUACAUAUUACUAUAUAUAUUACUGGGAUACAUAUAACCCAGUGGAAUUGCUUGUCAGUUCUGGGAAGUGAAGGGAAGAGGGGAAGGAAACAACAUGAAUUAUGUAAUCUUGGAAAAAUACUUAAAAAUAAAUAAUUUUUUAAAAAUCACUGCUUGUUAUUCUUAGGAAAGCAGUCUUAGGAGAUGGUAGUGUUUGCUGAAUAUCAGUACCUCCACUACAAAUAGCAAAUCAUUUCUUUUCAAAGAUCAUUGAGAUGUGUCCAUGAUGGCUACCUUUCCAUACUUAAAAUGGUUUUAAACUUUGGCCAUUCAUGUCUGAAUAGUUUGAAGCUGACGGCCUUGUUGGUCAUUUAUAUUGGCAUUUAUUGUCCUAUUUACUUACAGGAAUUCUUCUUGUGGGACUCUUGAGAUUCUAUUGUUUGAUUUUGUUUCAUUGUUGGUUUUCUGAAAGAUGAGUUGUGUGUUGUGCCAUUACAAAAUGACAAUUUGGCUAUUGGCCACUGUUGGGUGGGAACUAGAUGGUUCCCAGGAUAAAGUGCUGGGCCAGCAGUCAGGGAGACCUGAGUUCAAAUCUGGUCUCAGACACUCAGUAACUGUGUGACCCUGGACAAGUCACUUAACCUCUAUUUGCCUUAAUUGAUUGAAAAAAGUAGAUGACAAACUACUCCAGUAUCUUUGCCAAGAAAACUCCAAAUGGAGUCAGGAAAAGGUGAAUACAACUGAAUAAUCACAACUGCAGAAUAAGUGACAGUAAGGUAACCUAUAACAUAACCCCCUGCCCUGAACAUCUUUAUCACCACGCAGGGAUUUCCAAUAAGUGUGUAGAAUGAAUCACUUUUCUUUCCAAUAAAAACUGAAAAUUAAUCGGGAUCAAGAAAGGUCCUUUUAGUCCUUUAAAUUCCAUGUUUUCACAUUCCAUGUCCAUAGGGUGCUCUCUAUCUUCUCCAUUCUAUGUUCUAACAUUCUAUAGACUAUAUUCUAGUAUCUUAUGAUCUAAGAUCUAGUUCAGUUUUCAUAUUCUUUGUUCUAGGGUCCUUUCCAGUGUAUCUACCUUUUACCAAUUUAUUUUCUACUAUUCUAUACACUAUAUUCCAAAAUCUUAUGUUCUAAGGACUAUUUUAGCUCUCAUAGUCUAGGUUUUAUAUUCUGAUAUUCUAUGUUCAUUUCAACUAAUAUUGAAUGGCCUCCAUGUAAUGGAUGGGGACCUGGGCUCAGGGAGAAUAGAUGAGUUACUCAAGAUUAUGGAGCCAGUCAGCAGCUAUGACUAGAUUAAAACUAGGUCUCUCAUGGAUUUUUUCAAUUCUCUUUCCAUAAGACCACCUAGAAGAUUGAACAGAGCAUGACUUCACCUCUCUAUAGAAUGGCUCUGGAAAUGGGGUUUUGGAGAUCCUAAAGGGCCCCCACUGGAAACUGGUAGAAGAGGAUGCCAUCAGUUCAUGUAAUCCAGGGAAUAAAUGCCCUCAUAGGCUGAUUGUUCUUUCCUUCCUCUCACAGGAUGGUUUGAACCCCAAAGAAAAGGGGCCCAUUUUUCUUCCUUUCUAACAAUAGCUUUAUACCUGUCUUUCCCCUCAGUCUCCAGGGUAGCAGAAAAACAAUCCCUGCCAGGAAUGAAGGAAGGAAAGAGGAAAGGAGAAAAAAAUGGAAAACAAAGGAGAUGACUGAUGGGGUUUAUGAAAGAACUUGGGACCAGAGGGACCAGGCAACCCCAUGCUAAGGGAAGCUGAGUUUGAAACUCUCAACCUGAUACUGAAAUUAAUUCAAGCCCUGAGAUAGGAUAGAAAGUGAUCAUGACUCCUUGUAGAAUCAAAAAAUUUAGCUAUAGGUCAUCUAGAUUUACCCUCACCCUUCCUUUUUAUAGAUAAGGAAACUGAGACCCAAAGAUUUUAAGAGGCUUCUUCUCAAGUCAUAUAGGUCUUUAAAAAAAAAAAAAACGCUUACCUUCUGUCUUAGAAUCAAUACUGUGUUUUUGGUUCCAAGGCAGAAAAACAGUAAAAGUCUAGGCGAUGGAGGUUAAGUGACUUGUCCGGAGUCACACAGCUAGGAAGCAUCUGAGGUUAAACUUGAACCCAGGACCUCCUUUUUCUAGGCCUGGCUCUCAAUCCAAUAAGCUACCUAGCUACCCUCCAAUAGACCUUAACACUGGACUUGAACCUUCCCUAACCUUCCAGCGCUAAGCCCUGUGUCCUUUGAUGGUGAACAGUUUACAAAUGAGAGGAUAAACCUUUCUCAAAUGUAAAUCUGGGAAAAGGCAUUUUUCUAGAAUUUGGGGACGUUUCAGAGCAGUUUUUCUCCAACUUUUGAUUGGGCCCAGUCUAUUUUGGUCAGUCAGAAAAUGAAAAGCCAGACCCAGCUCUGUUUUUCUUAACAUCUUUGUUAUUUAGCAACUUGUUUCUGUUCAGUUCCCAUUUAAGGGAGCAUUGACUGUGCCAGAGGGGGAUUUGUGGCUUUGUUAUUUAAAUAGUCCUGAAAUUCAGGGAAAAGUCAGCCAAGGGCCUGAGCUUGGGUAAGAAGUCCCUUCCCCAUUAUGGGCCUCAGUUUCUUUAUCUCUAAAAAUAAUGGGGUUAGAUUGGGUGAACUCUAAGCUCCCUUCCAACUUGAAAAUGCUAUGGCUCUGUGACUGACUCUCUUUGAGGCAGAUGUGGUCCUAUUCCUUGCCAAGAUCAUCCCCUCCCUCUAAUCCUCCUCAUUUUUGCCAGGAGUUCAUCCUGUCCAUCCUCAUCCUUCCCCCUCCUAAUUUUCACCAUCUCUGUCCUAGCGUUCCUUCCUCCUUACCCAAAGAUGUGCCCCAUCCUUUAAAAACCAUCAAUUUCACUUGAUGCUCCCAUCCCCUCCACGCAGCUGUUGUUCUUUUCUCUCACCUGUUCACUGUGAAGUUGGAGUCUUCCCCUAACAAACUUGUGCUAAACCCUUUUCUUAGUUCUCCUCCUCUUCUUUGCCAACUUUCUGUAUCUUGAAUACUAUUGAUGCUCAAUGCUAUCUUCUCUCCAAGGGUUCUGAACAGAGCUUUCUCCUGGUUUUUCCCUGCCUUUGCUGGAUCAUCCUCACUAUGCUACAACCCAGCUUCUGUCCUGGGGGCUCUUCUCUUUUCCUGUGCAAGCUUGUCUUCCUGAUCUCAGCUUCCCUUAGAUGGAAUCAUUUUCUCCAAGUUUCCUCCCAACUCCCCAUUAUAGAGCCUUCAUUUCUCUAUUAAGCUCACAUCUGGCAUGAGGAGUUUCCUGCUAAAUAUGUAGAUAUCCCAUAGGCUCAAAUCCAAUCAAAACAAGAGAGAUCUUUCCUCCUGAAGCCCCCUUUCCUACUCAUUCCCCUUCUUUUUUUUAGAUCAUCAUCAUCAUCCUUCUGUGCACCCACGUUCUCAAAAUCAGAAUCAUCUAAUUCAUCUUUCCCUCACUUCCCCAAUUUCUUUCUUCUGAUACUUCUACCUUUGCAACAUAGUUCCCCCUCUCAGGAAGUCAUGGCAAGUAUUAAGCAUUUAGUAUUUGUCAAACAUUCAGGAUACAAAGAAAAAUGAACAGUCCCUGCCUUCAAGGAGCUCACAAUCCCAUAGCCAGAACCCUAGAUCAACCUCUCAUCACUUCUUGCCUAAAAGAUUGUGAUAGCCUCUUAAAUUAGUCUCUACUUCUGCUCUGCCCUCUCUCUAGUAUAUCAUCCCUGAAGGUGCCAGCUAUUGAUUGUUCUAGAGUACAGACCUGGCCAUAUGAUUGCCUUGCCCAAAAAGCAGCCUAUCCCCCAUUGGCUGUGGAGAAUAUAAACUAAAACCUUCAGCAUCUAGUUUCUGCCUAGCCUUUGGGAGCUAGGAGUCCUGGACCUGGAGUCAGGAUGUCCCGAGUUCAAAUCUAGACUCAGAUACUUAUAAGCUGUGUGUGACCCUGGGCAAGGCACUUAUCUACCGCAGCUUCAUCUUUGUGGGGGGAGGAUAAUGACAGCACCUACCUUCCCAGGUGGUUGUGAGGAACAAAUAAGUUUAACAUAAGCAAAAGGUUUUGCAAACCUUAGAGCACUCUGAAAAUGCUAGCAGUAGUAGUAGUAGUAGUAGUAGUAGUAGUAGUAGUAGUAGUAGUAGUAGUAGUAGUAGUAGUAAUAGUAGUGGUAGUAGUAGUGGUAGUAGUAGUAGUGGUAGUAGAGAAGGUGGUGGUGGUGCUAGUAGUAGUAUUAAUAGUGACAGUGCUGGUUGUGGUAGUAGUAGUGGUGGCGGUACUGGUGGUAGUGGUGGUUGUAGUAGUAGUAGUAGUAAUAGUAGUAAAAAAGGUGGUGGUGGUGCUAGUAGUAGUAGUAAUAGUGAUGGUGGUGGUUGUGGUAGUAGUGGUGGUAGUGGUGGUAGUAGUGGUGGUGGUAGUGGUAUUGGUAGUAGUAGUAGCAGUAGCAGCAGCAACAGCAGCAACAGUAGUAGUGAAGGUGGUGGUGGUGGUAGUAGUAGUAGUAGUAGUAGUGGUGGUGGUAGUAGUAGUAGUAGUAGUAGUGAAGGUGGUGGUGGUGGUAGUAGUAGUAGUAGUAGUAGUAGUAGUAGUAGUAGUAGUAGUAGUAAGUAUUCUUUCACCACUGACAUUCUUCAUUAUAGUUAACAUUGCAACUCUGUGAUUUCACUCUCCUUUAACUCCAUAAAGUAACUUUGUAUUUGUUUACCCACAUACAUGAUAAACACUUUCCCCUUCAGUAAAAUAAAAGCCACUUGAAGAAAAGGACUUUUUUUUAUUUUUUUAUUUUUUAUUCCUAGGAUCUAGAAUAUGGUCCAGUGAAAAAACUGGAGGCAGAGGACCUGAAUGCAAAUCCAAGGCUGCCACCUAAUAUCUAUGUAAUAUUACACAAGUCCUUUCUCCUCUCUUUUCAAUGAAGUGAUUGGACUUGAAUUUGGCUUCCAAAGUGGUGAGGUGGCAAAGUGGAUAAUUGGCUGAGCCUCAAGUCAAAAAGUCCUGAGUUCAAAUUUGACCUCAGACACUUACUAGCUAUGUGAUCUUAGGUAAAUCACCUAAUCUCUGUGUGCCUCAGUUUUAACUAUAAAAUGGUGGUACUAUUCAUAUGUAUCUCCCAGGGUCAUUGUGAAGAGUAAAAAGAGUUACUCUUUGCCAAGUGACUGACACUGUGAGCCAAGAGUUACUCUUUGCCAAGUGACACAGUGAAACAUAAAUGUUUCUCUCCUUUCUUUCCAUCCCCUGAAGUCCCUACCAGUUGUAGAUUGGGAUGUUAUGGUACCAUCAGCUAACCUCUCUGGACCUCAGUUUCCUCAUCUGUAAAACAAGGCAGUGGUACCAGCUGACCUUAGAAUUCCCCCUUCCUGACAUUAGAGCAUUGAUCCUAGACUGGUAUUUUUGGAACCUGUUUCCUCCUCUGUAAAAUGAUGGCCUCUGAGAUUUCUUUAAAAUAAUUGUUCAUUUUCUAUCAGCAAUUCUUCUUGGUUUCAAUUCUGUGGAACAUCAUGCCUUCCCCCAGCAUAAAAUGGCCACCCAAAGCCCCACCACCAUGCAUGGUGACUCAGUGCCUUCCUGACUCUCUCACUCUGCUCUCUCCUCUGACUGGAGGGAUGGAAGGUAUAGCCAUCACCUUCUUCCAAGUCCUCUUUAUACCUCGAAGGCUCAGAACUUUCUAAGUAGCUCAUCUUUUUCCAACCGCUUGAUUUUACUUCAUGGAGCAUCCUGCCCCUGUGCUGAGUUGUCCUUGAUCUCCAACCUCCUUCCACCUCUUCUUGUGUUGUCUUCUCCAUUAAAUGGAAAGCUCCUUGAGGGCAGGGACUUUCUUCUUAUUAUUUGUGCCUUGCCUGGCACAUCUUAGACACAUAAUAAAUAUUUACUCAAUUCAAUUUCAUCCUUACGUCUCUGAUGCUCUGAUUAGUAAAAGGUUGUGUGUUGAUGAAAUUGAACUGACAAAGGUAGAGAUAUGGUGAUGGUGAGACAGAAGGCAAUGACAACUCCAAGUAUAUCCUUAAGAAGAAUCUGAAACAAGGGAAUACCUUUGUUGUGGAAAAAGAGAAGACUGUAAAAAUCUCAAUAUUUGUUUUCAUCUACAUCUUCAAAGAAAAAUGGGCUAUUCACUUCCCUUCCUCCAAAGCUCCAACAAGCUCUGCUCCAGACUAAUGUACAAUAAAUAACUGUUGAAGCUAUUCAAAUGGACAGCAUUUCAACUCCCCUCACCCCACAGUGUGAUAAAGCCUCCCUUCCCCUGGCCCUUGGCUGAAAUAUAAGCUAAUCAUCAGGGUAUGCCAGAGAAGGAUUUUUGGCAAUGAGAGUUUGAAAGAAAAAAAAUAAUUGAAAAUGCUGAGACAGCACUGUAGUUAGACAAUUAAAUUUGGAAAGCCAAGACAGUUCCUGUAAGUCCCCUGCUCCAAGAACAAAAGGUUUUGUUGAAAGUAUUCCUGUGGAUAUUAAUACGGACACUUUAAUGAGCCUUGCGGCAAGCAAAAGUCCUCAUAGGCAGUAAUUACACCAAUGUUCCAUCAGUAGAACCCAGGCAGGAAGCCCAGACCAAAAAUAAUUGUCAUUCACUUGCUAGUCACCCCAGGUCAUAUCAGGCAACCCACACUGGAUGGUUGAUUUGCCAAUGUUCAGUGGCACCUUAAGAGUGAGAGGGGGUUAGGUCAUUCUGGGAAUCCAAUCAAUGAGCAUUUCCCACAGGAAAAGGCCUCUCCAGUGUUGGGAAUGGGAGAAGGCUUCAAUGGAAUCACCAUUACAAAUGACUUACACUCUCCACUUAUUUCUCUAAGGUUGUCUGGAUGUAGGUUGGUGUUUGCCAUUUCUUUGAACUUUGAUCUUCAGAAGGGGCAAUUCUCUUAGAAAAGUCUUGGUCAGGAAAUGGUGGGUAUCUCUCUCUACCAGUUCUGUCUGAUUCAGAACUGGAAAGAAAGAAAGAGAAAGAGAAAAAAGAAAUUAAAAAAACCAGAGGUGUGUGUGUGUGUGUGUGUGUGUGUGUGUGUGCGCGCGCGCACGUAAGAGAGAGAGAGAGAGAGGAGAGAAAAGAAAGAAAAGAAAGAAAGAAAGAAAGAAAGAAAGAAAGAAAGAAAGAAAGGAAGGAAGGAAGGAAGGAAGGAAGGAAGGAAGGAAGGAAGGAAGGAAGGA